rnacentral:rRNA from 1 species
AGAGUUUGAUCCUGGCUCAGGAUGAACGCUAGCGGCAGGCUUAACACAUGCAAGUCGAGGGGUAGCAGGUCUUCGGACGCUGACGACCGGCAAACGGGUGCGGAACACGUACGCAACAUACCCUUUACAGGGGGAUAGCCCGAAGAAAUUCGGAUUAACACCCCAUAGUAUAAUAGGAAGGCAUCUUCUUAUUAUUAAAAAUUUAUUGGUAAAGGAUUGGCGUGCGUCCCAUUAGAUAGUUGGCGGGGUAACGGCCCACCAAGUCAGCGAUGGGUAGCUGGUGUGAGAGCACGACCAGCCACACGGGCACUGAGACACGGGCCCGACUCCUACGGGAGGCAGCAGUGAGGAAUAUUGGUCAAUGGACGCAAGUCUGAACCAGCCAUGCCGCGUGGAGGAUGACAGCCUUCUGGGUUGUAAACUUCUUUUAUAUGGGAAGAAAAGUACGGUUUCUACUGUAUCCGACGGUACCAUAUGAAUAAGCACCGGCUAACUCCGUGCCAGCAGCCGCGGUAAUACGGAGGGUGCAAGCGUUAUCCGGAUUUACUGGGUUUAAAGGGUGUGUAGGCGGAUAUUUAAGUCAGAGGUGAAAUCUCCGAGCUCAACUCGGAAACUGCUUUUGAUACUAUUUAUCUUGAAUUUCGUUGAGGUUGGCGGAAUAUAUCAUGUAGCGGUGAAAUGCAUAGAUAUGAUAUAGAACACCGAUUGCGUAGGCAGCUGGCUGAACGAACAUUGACGCUGAGGCACGAAAGCGUGGGUAGCGAACAGGAUUAGAUACCCUGGUAGUCCACGCCCUAAACGAUGAUUACUCGACAUACGCGAUACACAGUGUGUGUCUGAGCGAAAGCAUUAAGUAAUCCACCUGGGAAGUACGUCCGCAAGGAUGAAACUCAAAGGAAUUGACGG